AUUGACGGGGGCCUGCACAAGCGGUGGAGCAUGUGGUUAAAUUCGAAGCAACGCGCAGAACCUUACCAGCGUUUGACAUCCCGCGCUACUUCCAGAGAUGGAAGGUUCCCUUCGGGGACGCGGUGACAGGUGCUGCAUGGCUGUCGUCAGCUCGUGUCGUGAGAUGUUGGGUUAAGUCCCGCAACGAGCGCAACCCUCGUCCUUAGUUGCCAUCAUUUAGUUGGGCACUCUAAGGAAACCGCCGGUGAUAAGCCGGAGGAAGGUGGGGAUGACGUCAAGUCCUCAUGGCCCUUACACGCUGGGCUACACACGUGCUACAAUGGCGGUGACAGUGGGCAGCAAGCCAGCGAUGGUGAGCUAAUCUCCAAAAGCCGUCUCAGUUCGGAUUGUUCUCUGCAACUCGAGAGCAUGAAGGCGGAAUCGCUAGUAAUCGCGGAUCAGCAUGCCGCGGUGAAUACGUUCCCAGGCCUUGUACACACCGCCCGUCACACCAUGGGAGUUGGGUUCACCCGAAGGCGUUGCGCUAACUCGCAAGAGAGGCAGGCGACCACGGUGGGCUUAGCGACUGGGGUGAAGUCGUGACAAGGUAACCGUA
rnacentral:rRNA from 1 species